GCUGGAUUAGCUCAAUUGGUAGAGCAGCUGAUUUGUAAUCAGCAGGUUGGGGGUUCGAGUCCCUUAUCCAGCUCCA
rnacentral:tRNA from 1 species